UGACUUCUCUAAACAUUGAGCAAGUCAAAUAAUCUAAUGUUUGAUGCCGUGUAUAACAGAUACAAGGGAGUGUACCGGACAAUGUGGCUGUUCUUGUAUUUGGAAACAAGCAUGAAGUUCCUGGUGCUAUGUCUGCUUCUGAGAUCAGUAACAAGCUUGAUCUCACUUCUCUUCGUCAAAAAAACUGGCAGAGAAACUGGUAAGAAGAUAAGAAAAACCUUUCAAGACUCUAAUUUUGCGAUUAUGAUCGAUUCUUCUGAUGAUCUGUUUUUUGAUUCUUGCUUGCUAGGCAUGUCCAGAGCUCAUGUGCAUUCUCUGGUGAUGGUUUACAUGAAGGACUCGACUGGCUGUUGAAAAAUGCUGAAAGAAUGUAAGAAUGUGUCUUGGUUGUUAACGCGGAAUCUCUGUACUGAAAAUAGCCAUCUUUUGUAUCAAGUUAUUAACCUCAUCGUGCUUAUUUGCUAGCUCCAUCAACAACUUGAUCCUUUUAAACGAGACAUUACUCGGUCUAUGACCUUUCUCAACCAUCUCAAGCAAACAUUUCUCAGCUUCUUCGACUUUAGCCAAAUCACAAAGCAAAUCCAAAAGCACAUCUGAAACCAAACUAUAUGAACCAAAACCUUUUACCACCAUAUCUUCCCACAACCGCAUCGCCAUAUCCACUUUCUCGUGUCUCUUAAACAUCUUAAUCAAGAACAUACAGGAUUGUGUAUUCGGCAAACACUCAUUCCCCAACAUUCUCACAUACAGCUCCCAAGACCGUCCCAAAUCAUUUGCCAACGAUAAAACACGGAAAAACAGAUUAUAAGUAGUCGCAUUCGGAGACAAACCCUUCUUCACCAUCUCAUCCACCAACUUAUCCGCAUCCCCGAGCCUCCUCGCUAUGCAAAAAUUCCUAAUAGCAGCAUUAUAAGCCGCAACAUCAGGAUAACACCCAUACUCCUUCAUUUCCUUUAAAACUUCUCUAGCUUUAUCAGGCUGACCGAUUAACCCCAACCCACCUAUAACAGUUGUAUAAGUUAUAACAUCGGGAGUUUCCUCCUCCUCUCGCAUCUUAUCUAUCAACUUAUAAGCUUUCUCAAUCUCUCUAUCCUUGCAAUACACAUCAAUCAAAGAGUUAUACGUAACCACAUCAGGUUUUAGCCCCUUUCCCUUCAUUUCCUCGAAGAAAGCUUCCGCUUCUUCCGAUGAUUUCCAACCCGAUAAAAGUAUAUUAAAAGUCUGCAAAUCAGGCUGAAACUGAUGCUUCAAGCUAUGAUACACAUUCCUAGCAUCAGUCAUACUCUUCUCUUGGCAAAGAGUUCUCAAGAGAGCAUUGAAACAAGCCGUGUCAAAGAAAUCAGGAACCAAUCUCUUAAACUUCCAGAAAGAUUCAACAGUUUGUCUAACGGAACACAACUUAGCAACUCUACCUAACACAACUUGCAUCGUCCUUGGAGAUAUCAAAGAUCGAUCCUUACGCUUAGUCUCAAUCAAAAGCUCCCAAAUUUGAUCGAACUUUCGAUUUCUACCGAGAAUAUAAAGCAUUGUAUCUAGAGAAA